rnacentral:rRNA from 1 species
AUUGAACGCUGGCGGCAGGCUUAACACAUGCAAGUCGAGCGAGCGGCGGACGGGUGAGUAAUGUCUGGGAAACUGCCUGCUGGAGGGGGAUAACUACUGGAAACGGUAGCUAAUACCGCAUACCAUCAGAUGUGCCCAGAUGGGAUUAGCUUGUAGGUGGGGUAAUGGCUCACCUAGGCGACGAUCCCUAGCUGGUCUGAGAGGAUGACCAGCCACACGGGAACUGAGACACGGUCCAGACUCCUACGAGAGGCAGCAGUGGGGAAGAUUGCACAAUAGGCGCAAGCCUGAUACAGCCAUGCCGCGUGUGUGAAGAAGGGCUUCGGGUUGUAAAGCACGUUCAGCGAUGAGGCGUUACUCGCAGAAGAAGCACCGGCUAACUCCGUGCCAGCCGCCGCGGUAAUAC